rnacentral:tRNA from 1 species
GAGGAUACGGCUCAGUGGUAGAGUGCAUGCCUAGCAUGCGUGAGGUUCUGGGUUCAAUCCCCAGUAUCACCG